CAGCAGCCGCGGGAAUACGAAGGGGGCUAGCGUUGUUCGGAAUUACUGGGCGUAAAGCGCACGUAGGCGGAUAUUUAAGUCAGGGGUGAAAUCCCAGAGCUCAACUCUGGAACUGCCUUUGAUACUGGGUAUCUUGAGUAUGGAAGAGGUGAGUGGAAUUCCGAGUGUAGAGGUGAAAUUCGUAGAUAUUCGGAGGAACACCAGUGGCGAAGGCGGCUCACUGGUCCAUUACUGACGCUGAGGUACGAAAGCAUGGGGAGCAAACAGGAUUAGAUACCCCUGUAGUCCCUGUCUCUUAUAA
rnacentral:rRNA from 1 species